GAUGGAAAAGGGAGAAAGUCUGUGUGCAUCGCCUGUCAGCGCUGCUAUGGAGAAGCUGCUGAAAGACUUGGACUCGCUUUCCAACAGCAUGGAUCAACUGGCACUGCAAACCCAUCUGAUGCAAUGUGACCUGAUCGUUUGUGUUAACCAGCCCGACAAAGCUGCAUUCCUCCAAAAAAUCCAAGAGGAGGUGAAGAAACAGCAGCCUUGAAUCGGAGGCGUGAGGAUCAGAGAAUUAACGAUGCAACGUCUAACCUUGUUCACCUCUCUGAGAGAGACUUCAGCCUGAUGUCGGGUUAUUCUUCCCCUGUACCAGCUGGGAUCCAAAACCUGGACUCACAGUGAC